UACGAAGGGGGCUAGCGUUGUUCGGAAUUACUGGGCGUAAAGCGCGUGUAGGCGGGUCGUUAAGUCGGGGGUGAAAGCCCAGAGCUCAACUCUGGAACUGCCUUCGAUACUGGCGACCUGGACCCAAGUAGAGGCGGGUGGAAUUGCGAGUGUAGAGGUGAAAUUCGUAGAUAUUCGCAGGAACACCAGUGGCGAAGGCGACUCGCUGGACUUGUGGUGACGCUGAGACGCGAAAGCGUGGGUAGCAAACAGG
rnacentral:rRNA from 1 species